rnacentral:rRNA from 1 species
UACGAAGGGGGCUAGCGUUGCUCGGAAUCACUGGGCGUAAAGGGCGCGUAGGCGGCCGAUUAAGUCGGGGGUGAAAGCCUGUGGCUCAACCACAGAAUUGCCUUCGAUACUGGUUGGCUUGAGACCGGAAGAGGACAGCGGAACUGCGAGUGUAGAGGUGAAAUUCGUAGAUAUUCGCAAGAACACCAGUGGCGAAGGCGGCUGUCUGGUCCGGUUCUGACGCUGAGGCGCGAAAAGCGUGGGGAGCAAACAGG